UGGAAGUGGAAUCAGAGAUGGGUUUCCCCUCCCGGAAGGAUUUUGACGUUGCUGGGUCUAUCCAAGAGCUGUUUGCAGGGAGUGAUACCAUGGGCAUGGCUGACCCUUUGUGCCUUCAGCAUCUCUAGCACCCCGUCAGAGAAGAAACCUUUCACAGGCUUCUGGGCCCAUAUCCCGACGUAUCCACACCAGGACAGCCCAGCAAGACUCCUAGGAAGGUGCCAGGCAGUGAGGAGUCAGACCCAGCGUGUUUGAGCACUGAGCAAGCAUUAGCUGGAGAAACCUGGGAUUUUCCAGCAAGCCUGGGGCUGUCCAGCACCUAACUCCUGUAGCCUCCUUUGAAAUUCCUCCUCUAAUUAAUAAAUAAGUAGCAAGUUUCACUGACAUAAUUUCAGAGCUAUUGCUCUUAAUUAAAUAACAAGUUAUUAAAAUACUUUCAAAACUGGA